rnacentral:rRNA from 1 species
UACAGAGGGGGCAAGCGUUGUUCGGAAUUACUGGGCGUAAAGGGCGCGUAGGCGGCCUGCUAAGUCGAACGUGAAAUCCCCGGGCUCAACCCGGGAACUGCGUCCGAUACUGGCAGGCUUGAAUCCGGGAGAGGGAUGUGGAAUUCCAGGUGUAGCGGUGAAAUGCGUAGAUAUCUGGAGGAACACCGGUGGCGAAGGCGGCAUCCUGGACCAACACUGACGCUGAGUGAGCGAAAGCCAGGGGAGCAAACGGG